GACGAACGCUGGCGGCAUGCCUAACACAUGCAAGUCGAACGAGACCUUCGGGUCUAGUGGCGCACGGGUGCGUAACGCGUGGGAAUCUGCCCUUGGGUUCGGAAUAACAGUUAGAAAUGACUGCUAAUACCGGAUGAUGACGUAAGUCCAAAGAUUUAUCGCCCAAGGAUGAACCCGCGUAGGAUUAGCUAGUUGGUAAGGUAAAGGCUUACCAAGGCGACGAUCCUUAGCUGGUCUGAGAGGAUGAUCAGCUACACUGGGACUGAGACACGGCCCAGACUCGUACGGGAGGCAGCAGUGGCGAAUGGUGGACAAGGGGCGAAAGCCUGAUCCAGCAAUGCCGCGUGAGUGAUGAAGGCCUGAGGGUUGUAAAGCUCUUUUACCAGGGAUGAUAAUGACAGUACCUGGAGAAUAAGCUCCGGCUAACUCCGUGCCAGCCGCCGCGGUAACAC
rnacentral:rRNA from 1 species